GGGAAAGAAGCAAGGAUCAGUUCCUUCUAGCAACAUGUUUUCUGUUACCCGCUUGGGGCUUGUGAUCCUCGUACUCUUCAAGAAGAGCAAUGGAGAUUCUGUGACCCAGACAGAAGGUCCAGUUACUGUCACAGAGAGGGCAUCUGUAAUGCUGAACUGCACCUACCAGACCACUUAUUCAACUCCUGCGGUUUUCUGGUACAUCCAAGAUCUCAACAGAGCCCCUCAGCUGCUUCUGAAGACGGCAACUGGAAACCAGAGGACGGAGAACCGAGGGUUUCAGGCCACGCUUGUGAAGAGCAGCCGCUCCUUCCACCUGCACAAGUCCUCACUGCAGCCGUCAGACUGGGCCCUGUACUACUGCGCUAGAAUUCAGUCUAACUGCUCACCAACUCUUCCCUUCAUGAAGCAGCUCAAGAGGCACAGGAACUGGACAGCCGUCAGGAUGAGGCCAUGA